rnacentral:rRNA from 1 species
CAGUAGCCGCGGUAAUACAGAGGUCUCAAGCGUUGUUCGGAAUCACUGGGCGUAAAGGGUGCGUAGGCGGCGCGGAAAGUCAGGGGUGAAAUCCCGGAGCUCAACUCCGGAACUGCCUCUGAUACUCCCGCGCUAGAGAGCUGGAGGGGACAUCGGAAUUCACGGUGGAGCAGUGAAAUGCGUGGAUAUCGUGAGGAACACUAGUGGCGAAGGCGGAUGUCUGGACAGUAUCUGACGCUGAGGCACGAAGGCCAGGGGAGCGAACGGGAUUAGAUACCCCAGUAGUCCCUGUCUCUUAUAC